CUAUGCGCCUUGCCAGCCCGCUCAGUCAGAGUUUGAUCCUGGCUCAGGACGAACGCUGGCGGCGUGCUUAACACAUGCAAGUCGAACGGAAAGGCCCUGCUUUUGUGGGGUGCUCGAGUGGCGAACGGGUGAGUAACACGUGAGUAACCUGCCCUUGACUUUGGGAUAACUUCAGGAAACUGGGGGCUAAUACCGGAUAGGAGCUCCUGCUGGCAUGGUGGGGGUUGGAAAGUUUCGGCGGUUGGGGAUGGACUCGCGGCUUAUCAGCUUGUUGGUGGGGUAGUGGCUUACCAAGGCUUGACGGGUAGCCGGCCUGAGAGGGUGAUCAGCCACACUGGGACUGAGACACGGCCCAG
rnacentral:rRNA from 1 species